rnacentral:lncRNA from 1 species
GUCGUGGAGGAGCUGCAGCCCUCACAAGAUGCAGCCAUGAAUGAUGACAUGAACAGCUACAUCAGCCAGUACUACAAUGGGCCCAGCAGUGACAGCGGGGUCCCAGAGCCGGCGGUGUGCCUGGUCACCACAGCUGCCAUAGACAUCCACCAGACCAACAUCUCCUCGGACCUCUUCUCAGUGGACACACCCCUGAAGCUCGGUGACAACAGCACCUGCGCCAGUGCCACCUCGGAAGGCGCCUCCCGCUCUGCCCAAAGCUCGGUGACCCGGGCCCAGAGCAACAGCAGCCAGACACUGGGCUCCUCCACGGACUGCAGCGUGGCCCGGGAGGAGCCAUCCUCAGAGGCCACACUAGUGGCCCUGCCACCACUGCCAACCCAGCAGUUGACAGCCCAGGACCUGCUGUCCUCCCUGUCCGAGAACCCCUAUGCUCCCCGGAGGGCCUUGGACCCAGCAACCCUCACACAGCCCACUCGGGAGGGCUCAGCCCACACCAGCCCUGAGCUAGAGCGGAGGGUCUGUCUGUUCAACAGGAAGAACCGGGAGGGCUUCGCCGUGGUGCAGAUCCAGCCUGUCCUACACUUCCCACCCACCACCCCUGUGCUGGAGGAGAAGCUCAGGUCUCUGGAAUCCAAAGAGCAGCCGCUGCACAGGGUCCCAGAGGCCUGAACCUGCAGGGAAGAGUGACUCAGCCAUCUCAAACCUUGCCCGGAACCCAGGCCACCGAGGGCCACACAUGAGGCAGGGAUCCUGCCUGGCCUCCCUCAGGGUGCUGUGGCCUCCAGGGAGGUGACCCAGGCCAGGAGGUCACCGGCCUCAGACCUCAGGGCCCAGAGCCACACCUCCUCUGGGGAGGGUGGUGCUCCUGGCCGGGUUUUAGCCGUUUCUACAAAGCCAGUGGGCAGCCCAGCCUCCGCAGGGCAGAGUGCGGGCGAGCUCAGCCUCUUCCGUGGCCUUUGUCCUGACACCCACCCCGGACUCUCGGGGACAGCACUGUGAGCAGGGGCGGCCCGGCCCCACCCUAGCAUCCUGCCAGGAGUCCUGGGUAGAGAGGACACCUGCCCCAUUUGCCCCAUUCUCUUUGCAGCAUGAGCGUUCUGAUCUUUUAAAGACAAACCUAGUCUUCACCUUCUCUGACAGAGGAUAGGUCUGGAACUGGGGGUCCUGGGGGUGGGGAGACAGCCAUUUUCUGACCUUGGCUUUAAUAAUAAAAACCAGCUGCACUGAAACACCCAUUUUGGGUUGUGGAGGUUUUCCUUUGGCUGCAGCCUGGGUUCUGUGUCCAGUGUGGCUCACUGGGGCCAGCACUGGCCUGGGCAAGCCCACCAGGGGCCAUCUCCCCUCUGCAGCCCUGAGGCCUUUGCAGAGUAGCCCUGGACCUGUCCCCACCUGCGGGGAGCUCACCAGUCUGUCCUCCCUGACGACCCCCAGGGAGCCCCCUGACCCAUUUAAAACCCCAGGGGACCUCACAGCCCACAGCCUGCCCUCCUCCUGGGGUCCCUGCUGGGGUGCGCUGUCCACUCAGUGUCCAUGUGUAUGGCAAGGUUGGCUCUCUUCACCCCGGAGCAGUCUUGUCCCUGGCCAUCCUACACCCAGAGUACCCAUCCCUGCCCAUCACCACUCCACCCAGGUCCAGUCUGAGCUGCUGCACCUCCUCGCCAGGCCAAGCCUGGGCCCCGCUCUCCCAUCUCGUCCUCCAUUCUCUAAUUCAUUAAGAUUAUUGGUACACCGGAGGGAGACAAUAUGUCCUCCCCAUUUAAAAGCCAUCAAGUGGUUUUUUGCUUAUGGCUGUUUUCUUUUAUAUGUGUGGGGGUCCUGCUGCUUACCCAGGCUCCCCCAUUUGUGACCUGACUCCAGCCUCUUUUCCAAUCUGUCCCUUCUCCCGCCACUUUGGGUGGUUGUCCCUGUGCAAAGGUCCCACCUGCCCUCGCUCUAGGUCCUGCUCUCUUCCUGACUCCCAAGUCCCCUCAUGCUCACUCCGACAAUGUAGUCAUCCCAUAGGGUGGCCAGCCUGUUUCCCUGCCUGCCUCCCUCUGCUGGAACCUGCUGGAACCAGAACCCAGGCCACGGGCCUGAGCACACCCACUCAGGAGACGCUGACCUGGAGGAGGGGAGGGAAUGUCCACACGCUGAUCCCACGUUUCAUCCCCAGUACCAAAAAAAAAAAGGUGUCAGUAGUGACUGUGUCCAACUGGGCCACUCUCGAGGCACAGCCAGAAGACUUGCAUGGGGCGGCUGCUCUACCAGGAGGUGCACGGCUGUCCCAAGGCCCCAGGUCACCAGCAGUCACACUUCCAUUCCUGAGCCCCUGUGGAGGCCAGAGAGGGUGAGGAAGCUGCCUAGUGAGAAAGGCUGGGAAACUGGAGCCCAGGUCUGCAUGGGGCCUGGGGUUCCCAGAGCUCUUAGAAGAAAGCAGCCACUCGCUUUUGCCCUGUGAUGGGCUGGAUUUGUAAUCUGCAGGACAGGAGUCAGCAGGAUCUAUAACCAGCGGUCUAC